CUCGCGAGGCUUGCCGGCAGCCAUCUUCUUGGGGGUGCUGAGAGCCGGGGAGCCCCCGGAAUCGUUUUCCAUUGAGUACUCGCGCGUUCCUUCGUCUUCCUCUCUUCCGCCUUCUCCGUUUUGUCAGCACCCCAACCCAGGGAGCCCCCGCGGCGGGGAGGGCUGCCAGGGGCUACGCGCGCGUCCCCUUUCCUGACCCGGGGAGCGCUGGGCGCAGAACCGGGAAGGGGGAGGGCCCAGGGAAACCGCCGCGGCCGCUGCCUCCGCCCCGGCAAGGGGCUGCUUGUGCUAGGGAAAGGGAACGGGAGGGGGGGAGGGGAGCUCGGGCGGCACCCUGAGGUGCCCGCGGCCUCGGGUGGUGCCCCGCGUACCUUCUCGCUGAGCGGGGUGCGCGGGAUCCUGCCACCGGCGCCGCCCACCGCGGCCCACGCGGGCGGCGGCGCGCGGAGGGGGGAGGCAGCGGGGGCAGGGGCAGCAGCGGUAGCAGGGUCCUGGCGUGGGCAGGCAGGGAGGGAGAGACACGGGCCGUGGGCCACAUUGGAUGGUUUCUAAAAUGAUCAUCGAAAACUUCGAAGCGCUCAAAUCCUGGCUCAGCAAGACCCUCGAGCCUAUCUGUGAUGCUGACCCAUCAGCUCUAGCUAAAUAUGUCCUUGCUUUGGUAAAAAAGGAUAAAAGUGAAAAAGAGCUGAAGGCAUUAUGUAUUGAUCAACUGGAUGUAUUUCUUCAGAAGGAGACGCAGAUAUUUGUAGAAAAACUUUUUGAUGCUGUGAAUACGAAGAGCUACCUACCUCCACCUGAACAACCAUCAUCAGGAAGUCUAAAGGUAGAAUUUUUUCAACACCAAGAAAAAGAUAUAAAAAAGGACGAGGAGAAUGAUCUUCAGACUGGAAAGGAUAGAACAAACAUGGUUAAAAGGGAUUUGGAGCCAAAGAUAGGUGAGGAGAUAGUGAGAGAGCACCUAGCGACUCUAAAUGAGUUCAAGUCUCCUGGCCUGGACGAAUUACACCCUAGGGUGCUGAAAGAACUCACAGAUGUGAUCGCUGAACCGCUGUCGGUGAUCUUUGAUGAAUCGUGGAGAACGGGAGAGGUGCCGCGGGACUGGAGACGGGCAAAUGUCCCAAUUUUCAAAAAGGGGAAGAAGGUGGAUUCCACAAACUACAGACCGAUUACAAAGGAGGAAGAACGAGAGAAGAAAUUUUCUAGAAGGUUAAAUCAUAGUCCUCCCCAGUCAAGUUCCCGGUACAGAGAAAAUAGGAGCCGUGAUGACAGGAAAAAAGAUGAUCGUUCUCGAAAAAGAGACUAUGACCGAAAUCCACCUCGAAGAGAUUCCUAUAGAGACCGGUACAAUAGAAGAAGAGGGCGGAGCCGAAGUUAUAGUCGAAGUCGCAGUCGGAGUUGGAGUAAAGAGCGGUUGCGAGACAGAGAUAGAGACAGAAGCAGAACUAGAAGCCGAAGUCGAACACGAAGCAGAGAAAGAGAUCUGGGAAAACCAAAAUAUGACCUGGAUAGAACAGAUCCAUUAGAAAACAACUAUACUCCAGUUUCUUCUGUAACUAACAUUUCGUCUGGCCACUACCCUGUUCCUACUUUGAGCAGUACUAUUACUGUUAUUGCUCCUACUCACCAUGGUAAUAACACUACAGAAAGCUGGUCUGAAUUUCAUGAAGACCAGGUGGACCAUAACUCUUAUGUAAGACCUCCAAUGCCAAAGAAACGUUGCCGAGAUUAUGAUGAAAAGGGAUUCUGUAUGAGAGGAGACAUGUGCCCUUUUGAUCAUGGAAGUGACCCUGUAGUAGUAGAAGAUGUAAACCUUCCUGGCAUGCUGCCUUUCCCAGCACAACCCCCUGUUGUUGAAGGACCACCUCCUCCUGGACUUCCCCCCCCUCCACCAAUUCUGACACCUCCACCUGUGAAUCUUAGACCUCCUGUGCCACCUCCAGGUCCAUUACCACCUAGCCUUCCUCCAGUCACAGGACCACCGCCUCCACUUCCUCCUUUGCAGCCAUCUGGUAUGGAUGCUCCUCCAAAUUCUGCAACCAGUUCUGUUCCCACUGUAGUAACAACGGGUAUUCAUCACCAGCCUCCGCCUGCACCACCCUCUCUCUUUACAGCAGUUUUUGUAUUACCAGAUACAUAUGACACAGAUGGCUAUAAUCCUGAAGCCCCAAGCAUAACAAACACUUCCAGACCUAUGUAUAGACACAGAGUGCAUGCUCAAAGGCCUAAUUUGAUAGGACUUACUUCAGGAGAUAUGGAUCUGCCACCCAGAGAAAAGCCUCCUAAUAAAAGCAGUAUGAGGAUAGUGGUCGAUUCAGAGUCAAGAAAAAGAACCAUUGGAUCAGGGGAACCUGGAGUUCCUGCUAAGAAGACUUGGUUUGACAAGCCAAACUUUAAUAGAACAAACAGCCCAGGUUUCCAAAAGAAGGUUCAGUUUGGAAAUGAAAAUACCAAACUUGAACUCAGGAAGGUUCCUCCAGAAUUGAAUAAUAUCAGCAAACUUAAUGAACAUUUCAGCCGAUUUGGAACUUUGGUUAACUUACAGGUUGCCUAUCAUGGUGAUCCUGAAGGUGCACUUAUCCAAUUUGCAACAUAUGAAGAAGCAAAAAAAGCAAUCUCUAGUACAGAAGCAGUGUUCAAUAAUCGUUUUAUUAAAGUCUAUUGGCACCGAGAGGGGGCUGCCCAGCAACUGCAAACAGCUUCCCAGAAAGUUAUACAACCUUUAGUCCAGCAACCCAGUUUGCCUGUUGUCAAGCAGUCUGUGAAAGAACGAUUAGGUCCUGUACCUUCAAGUAAUAUUGAACCUACAGAAGCCCAAAGUGCUGGUCCAGAUAUUCCUCAGAAUGUAACUAAGUUAUCUGUGAAGGACAGGUUGGGUUUUGUAUCAAAGCCAUCUGUUUCAGCAACUGAAAAGGUGUUGUCCACUUCUACUGGCCUCACAAAAACAGUGUACAAUCCAGCUGCUUUGAAAGCUGCACAGAAAUCUUUGCCUGCUGUUUCCAUCUCUACAUUAGAUAACAGCGAAGCACAGAAAAAAAAACAGGAAGCACUAAAACUUCAACAGGAUGUGAGAAAGAAGAAGCAAGAGAUUUUAGAAAAGCACAUUGAAACACAGAAGAUGUUAAUUUCAAAACUGGAGAAAAACAAAGCAAUGAAGUCUGAAGAUAAGGCAGAAAUAAUGAAAACUUUGGAGGCUUUGACAAAUAGCAUUACUAAAUUAAAAGAUGAAUUGAAAGCUGUUUCAUCUGGAAGCUCUCUUCCCAAAAGCGUGAAAACCAAAGCUCAGAUGCAGAAAGAAUUACUGGACACAGAACUGGAUUUGUAUAAGAAGAUGCAGGCUGGAGAAGAAGUUACUGAACUUAGGAGAAAAUAUACAGAACUACAGCUUGAAGCUGCAAAAAGAGGGAUUCUUUCAACUGGUCGAGGUCGAGGAAUUCAUUCCAGAGGUCGAGGUACAAUUCGUGGCAGAGGAAGGGGUCGUGGUCGAGGGAGAGGUGUUCCUGGUCAUGCUGUGGUAGACCAUCGCCCACGAGCAUUAGAGAUCUCUGCAUUUACUGAGAGUGAUAGAGAAGACCUUCUUCCCCAUUUUGCGCAAUAUGGUGAAAUCGAAGAUUGUCAGAUUGAUGACUCCUCUCUUCAUGCCGUAAUUACAUUCAAGACAAGAGCAGAAGCAGAAGCAGCUGCAAUUCAUGGAUCUCGUUUCAAAGGGCAAGAUCUUAAACUGGCCUGGAAUAAGCCUGUAAUAAACAUGUCAGCUGUUGAAGCAGAAGAAGUUGAACCUGAUGAGGAGGAAUUUCAGGAAGAGUCUUUGGUGGAUGACUCAUUGCUUCAAGAUGAUGAUGAAGAGGAAGAGGACAAUGAAUCUCGUUCAUGGAGAAGAUGAUUUGACUCAUCAUUGAUCUGCAAAUGCUAGGACUCUACCUGUGUUUCAUUAGUAUUACCUAAUGUACUUUUACAUAUUUGUAAAAACAAUUUUUGGUAAAAUGUGAUGAAGAUGGAUUUCAAAAAAAUAGACUAAAGAGAAGAAACUACCUUCUGAUCCUGUAUUUUGAAAGAUUUCUGUUUGAGUUUUAUUUCAGUAAACAAUUGCUAAAGACAUCACACUAGAAACAUAUGCAAUGUUUUUAUUACAUACUUCUACUGAGCGUUACAGAAUUCUUUGGGUUCUUUGUAAUUUAAUGAAUAGGUCUGAAAAAUAUAUGACCAAUACUUGUUAUAACUUAGAAGAUUUUUGUUUUAUUCCAAAGUAUCAAAUGGAUUUGCAUUAAAAUCUUAAAUGAAUGUUUCCAAAAAUGAAUAGAUAACAUAGUACUAAAGUCUCCAAGUUAUGUAUUCAUAAUAUUGCAUAGUAUUAUGCUUAGGCUUUACUAUGUACUAGCCUUUUGUUUAACUUGUGUAUGUAUUUUACAAAUGGGUUUUAAUGAUAACGGUGUAUGACUGCUUUGCAUAUAAAUCCUUAUGACUUUGAGAUGUUUGAAAAAAUAAAGUGGAAUGGUCUCUUUAAAAAAAAAAGAAAAAGAAAAAAGCAAUAACCAAAAAAAGCUAAGGCAAUGUUCCCUAAUUUAAAAAAAAAAGAAAGAAAGAAAGAAAAGAAAAGAAAAAAACUAAAAUAAAAAAGACCAUUCCAAAUGGUGAACCACCCCUUCCCCCAGUAUUCACAAAAGGAGCUAUAAUCACUAAUUUAUUCAUAACAAUAGUUUAAUGGUACCUUUACAAUAAUGUAUAAUCUGAUGCCUAAAAUAUAUAGCACUUCGGUUUGGUUUGAUCCUUUAAAUUUUCAACAGAUGUCAAAAUUAAAAAACAAAAACAGGCUGAUUAGUUUGGAACCACACUUCAAGUAGACCUAAUAUUUGAUGAAUAAGAAAACCAUCAGAUUACUAUUUGGAUAUAUGAAAGAAAACUUGACCAUGUGAAGAUAAAUGAAUAAAGAAAUGUACUAUAAAUUAGUACUUAGGAAAACAUUGUUUGGUAAGUACACCAGCCUCAAAAUUUUUAUAGUGUACAUUUGUUGUACCUUUAUAAAUAUCUUUGGCUUUCAUAAAAUCUUUACUUCAGAACAUUCUUUGUGGAGACAUAGUCCAAUUAUCAAAAUUUAUAUAGUAAACACAGGUUAUAGAAACAUGUCAUUUGGAAACUGAAAGGAGAAAAAUCUAAUUAUAUUUAUUUCCUUUUAGUGAUUUAAGUAUUUCCUCUUCCUCUUAAACUGAGAUUCUUUCAAGCUCAGAAUGUUUUUUGGUUCUUGCCAUUUUAGAAGGUUAGUUCUCAAAAACCUUAUUCAUUAAAAAAGAUUAUAAGAAAGGGAAGAGAUGUCCUGAGGUCCAGAGAUACCUACUAAGAAUUUUCAUUCUAUAGAUUUUGCUUCCAUUGAAUUAUAAUACAAUGGAAGGUCACCCUAGGUUCUCAAAACCUCUCUUGCAUUCUAUGACCAGCAUAGCUAAACUCAGAGAGGUUCAUAAUCCAGAAGGUUGGCUACCAAGCCCCAAAUAUUUUUUCAGCUACAACCAGCUCAUGUUAAUCUUAUAAUAAAUUAUAGAGGUAUUGUGAUUGGCAUUGGUGAAAGCAAUAACCAGACUAUUUAAAAUCUCCACUUUUUAAUGUAUAAUUCCUUAGGAAACUUAAGCAGUUUUAGAAUUAUAUGCUAGUUCCUUUUUUUUCCCUCUGCCACCUUUUCCUGACUUACUCUUCUCUUUUCCUACCAUCCAUCCCAUUUGUACACUGUAAUAGAAGUGAGUGUAUGUAUGUAUGUGUGUAUAUAUACACAUACAAAUAUAUUAUAUAAUUCGGUUAAUGGUACUAUAUAUUUGAACAUUUUGACUUCAAAUUUGGCAUGCUAACUUUAGAUUUAGAUGUUUAAUAUUUCUCCCCAAACUUUCAUAUAUAUAUAUAUAUUUACUAUAUUUAGAUCUGUGGUAUACUUAUACAUGAAAUUGUUAUUUGGUCUGUGCUUGUGCUAUUCUGGUUCAUUAGGUAAGUGUGUUCUUUUUUCUUUCUUUUUCUUUCUUUUUUUUUUUAAUUUUAGUAGUCAUGAAAGAUGCCAAAUUGACAGAGGCACAAGUUCCUUCUCUUUGCACCAAACAGUGAGAACUACAUUGAAACAGCCCUAGAAAUUGUCAUGAGCAGAGUUCUAUGAACAUUGGCCGAACUUUAGCUUAGAGGCUACAUUGGCAAGAUUUGUUCCUGUCUGGAAGAAGACCAUUAUAAUAUGAUGUGAUAUCCAUUGUAUGCUUGUCUCCUGUUAACUUGAAUUAAUGUUUGCUUUUGACAAGUUGGCAUCUGUUCAUUGGUAGUAUGAAAGGUCACAACUAUUUUUUAACCAUCCCAUGUCUGAAUGAGUUUUGUCAUUGGUUAACAUCUUUGAUUAAACAACUUCAACGUUCUGGGUACUUAUGUUCUCCCUUUUAAAACCCGUUUGCUUUUACUGCAAACACAUAAGGGAAAAACUAUUAACUUUGUUUCCUAAUCAGAUAUGUUAAACGUCAGUCAAGUUGGAAGGAGCUUUUUUUAAUGAAGUCUGACUGCACAGUCAUUCUUUUUUUUUUCUGAGCAAUUAGGAAUAUGAAAAUAAAAAAAACUUAAAGUGAUAGUAGGUAUGGGGUUGGUUUGGAUUUUUUGAGUUUUCUCAAUAGGAUCUGUUUCUGCAGUUAGGAUAAUGACUAUAGGUUAUUAAGAUUUAAGAACUUGACAGAAUUUCCCAAAAAUGCCAAAAUGGCUUACCUGGAGAAUGUUUCUGAGUUAUUAAUCUUUCAGAAUAGAGAGUAACUUCACUGUCAUUUCCAGGGACAUAUAACCUAGAAACUCAUAAAUAUUUUGAAGGGUCAGAUUAACAUCCACAUAUUUUGAGGGGUUUUUCAUUAAAGACUGAAUCCUAACAGACACUGAAGUCAACUUAUUGUUUUUAAAAGAUUAUAUGCCAUUUCUGUUUCUAGAAGUGUAUAUUUUGCAUAGUUUCAGUAUUGAGUUUUUUGCUAGAUUAAAAUAACACAGUAUUCUUAUAUAAAAUUUCAUUUAAAACCCCAGAAUGUUUUAAAAGUAGAAUAUUUAAAAUAGUGUUCCCUGGAUAAGUAUUUCUCUAUAAGCUUGUUUAAGGUUGAAACUGCACAUAUCAGGAUGUCAGAGAGAAGAACUCUAAAUGACUUUCCAAUUCCUUUUACCAUGCUGUUACCUAAUUCACUUGCUACACAAAGACUGCUAGGAAAACUCUCAGGUUUUUUUUGUCUUAUUAUUGCCUAACUAAUAAAAAAAGAUGCAUAAAUGUAAAAAAUAAGAAUUUUGAAAAUAUUUGUCAUAUUAUGGGCAGGUCUUAUUUUGAAAAUAUUUGUCAUAUUAUGGGCAAGUUAUUAAUACUGAUUUGCAAUAGUGGAAAAUGUGAUAUACUUAGGUUAAGAGACUAAAUAAAGUGCCUAUUUUAGAUGGCCAUCAAGUGAAUUUUAAUUAUAGCCAUUGACUUAGCCUACAUUUGUGAAUCAGCAGAUAGUCCAUAACUCAAAGUACUAAUGCAGUUUAGGCAAGAUAGCUGGUGAUUUAGGGGUUUUAUUCUAAAUAAAAAUUUGGACACAACAAGGAACCAGAUAUUUCUGAUUGUUUGCUUGCCGUUCCGUUUUGACUUUUGAGCUGGGCAUUUUCUGUAUGAUCAGUGUUUUUUGUUACUAGUUUUAGCUGUAUCUAAUUAUUGAAAAGUAACAAUAUUAUCAAAGGACGAGGGUUUGCUUUAAUCAAUAUAUUUCAACAGGAUUCUCAUAAAACUGUAGAUAACUGCACAAAAUCAUUUUUAUUUAGUCGAUUGAAGUAAUUUAUCUCCACAUGACUGAGUCAUAAGUUUUUUUGUCUUAAAAUUUUUAAUGCAUUAUUUUACACUUUUAGUUUCUAUAGCCAUGUUGCAUGUAUUUCUGUUUACAUUUUUAUGUAGUGGGUUUCAAAACAUUUUGGACUCACAAAAUAAAAAUAUAUACAGUUUUUACAAACUGCAGGUAUCUUGAUCUGAAUUAAUAACUUCUAUCUUGUUUGAAAAAUAAUUAUUAGUUCAUAUCUGAGAUUUCCACAGAAACAUCAGAACAAAUUUUGUUGGUGCUACAUACCACCUUCCAAUAUUUUCUUUUGAUUCAAAUUCCAUCACUCAUUGACUUCAGCAUGCUCUUAGAAGAAAUAUCCUAUAAAAACAACAUUUUAUGUAGCUACUCAGUUUGUAAGUUUGUGUAGUGUUCAGCUUUCUGAACACCCAAUAAAGGUACAAAAGGUAAUAAUGCAAAAAAUGACAGGAAAUUUCUUAAGUUUGUUAUUAGUGUUAAAUUUUCCAAGAGGUAAGAGGUGUUAAAUCUGAUCUGAUUCCAAAUAGAAAAAUAGCUCUUUGGCUGAACCUCCUACCAGCAAAUUAGUAAUAAUGUUUAUUUUUUCCCUUAAACUAUUAUGUAACAUUACAUUCUAUGCAUUUAUUAGUUCAUACAAUGGUAGUUCCUGAGUAGAUAUUUUUUUAAAACUGUGAUGAACCAGAGGGGUAUAAGAAAUUCAUUUGUAUGUUAUGUUUUUUAAAGAAUUCUCAAUCCAAACCUUUGCAAAGAAUGUUUUCACAAAUAAUUUUUUAGCGAUCAGUAAAACAUGAAUGUUAAACUUAAUGAUAUUUACAAUCCUAAACUGUGUGGUAUGUUAAAAUAUUUUACACAGACAUUUUUUCCUGAUUUUUUAAAAUUAAAAGUCUCAACUCAGAUUCUGUGGAUUGAUGAAUUCUGUAUUCACGAAUGUCUUAUUUCAAGAAGGUACUCUAGCAUGGGAAAAUAUUCCCUGCUUUUGAGAGGAGCAAAAGUAAUUGGUUAAGCUGUACCAGCUUUUUUUUCUUUUUUUUUUUCUUUCUCUUUUUUUUGGUUGGGGGCUGGGGGAAGGGAGGAAGGGUUGUGUUAAAAAAUGAUAACUUGAACUAGAAUAUUAAUCUUAUUUGCUUAAAAGAUAGUAUUACAUGUUUGUUCAGUUAUGUCACUGUUUUUUGUUAUUUAUAGCUGAAUUUGUUUUGCUUGUUAAAUAUUCAUGUUUGUUAUUUUUAUAUUUUGAGAACUUUUAAAAUAAAAUUUUUCUGAAAACAA